rnacentral:rRNA from 1 species
GUUUGAUCCUGGCUCAGGAUAAACGCUGGCGGCAUGCCUAAUACAUGCAAGUCGAACGGGGGUGCUUGCACCCCAGUGGCGAACGGGUGAGUAACACGUAUCUAACCUACCUCAUAGCGGGGGAUAACUUUUGGAAACGAAAGAUAAUACCGCAUGUGAAUCUUAUUAUCGCAUGAGAAAAGAUUGAAAGGACCGUUUGGUUCACUAUGAGAUGGGGAUGCGGCGUAUUAGUUAGUAGGUGAGGUAAUGGCUCACCUAGGCGAUGAUACGUAGCCGAACUGAGAGGUUGAUCGGCCACAUUGGGACUGAGAUACGGCCCAGACUCCUACGGGAGGCAGCAGUAGGGAAUUUUUCACAAUGGACGAAAGUCUGAUGAAGCAAUGCCGCGUGAGUAAUGACGGCCUUCGGGUUGUAAAGCUCUGUUGUAAGGGAAGAAAAAAUAGAGUAGGAAAUGCCUCUAUAUUGACGGUACCUUACCAGAAAGCCACGGCUAACUAUGUGCCAGCAGCCGCGGUAAUACAUAGGUGGCAAGCGUUAUCCGGAUUUAUUGGGCGUAUAGGGUGCGUAGGCGGUUUUGCAAGUUUGAGGUUAAAGCCCGGAGCUCAACUCCGGUCCGCCUUGAAAACUGCAUUACUAGAAUGCAAGAGAGGUAAGUGGAAUUCCAUGUGUAGCGGUGAAAUGCGUAGAUAUAUGGAAGAACACCUGUGGCGAAAGCGGCUUACUGGCUUGUUAUUGACGCUGAGGCACGAAAGCGUGGGGAGCAAAUAGGAUUAGAUACCCUAGUAGUCCACGCCGUAAACGAUGAGUACUAGGUGUUGGGGUUAUCUCAGCGCCGCAGCUAACGCAUUAAGUACUCCGCCUGAGUAGUAUGCUCGCAAGAGUGAAACUCAAAGGAAUUGACGGGGACCCGCACAAGUGGUGGAGCGUGUUCUUUAAUUCGAUGAUAAGCGAAGAACCUUACCAGGGCUUGACAUCCUUGGAAUUUCUCCGAAAGGAGAGAGUACUUUAUUG